rnacentral:sRNA from 1 species
CCUUGUUCUUCUUCUUC